GAUGUUGGUUUGAAUGGUUAAAAGCGUCUCUGUAAAAAGCUGCAGCUGCUGCGGGGGGAUUCCCGCCAGCAUCU
rnacentral:tRNA from 2 species